AAGUCGAACGGACUAUGAAGGCUUGCUCUUAUAGUUAGUGGCGAACGGGUGAGUAACGCGUGGGAAUCUGCCCUAGAGUGGGGAACAACAGUUGGAAACGACUGCUAAUACCGCAUACUCCCUGAGGGGGAAAGGCUUCGGCCGCUCUUGGAUGAUCCCGCGUCUGAUUAGCUUGUUGGUGGGGUAACGGCCUACCAAGGCGACGAUCAGUAGCUGGUCUGAGAGGAUGAUCAGCCACACUGGGACUGAGACACGGCCCAGACUCC
rnacentral:rRNA from 1 species